UACAGAGGGUGCGAGCGUUGUCCGGAAUCACUGGGCGUAAAGGGCGCGUAGGCGGCUUCUUAAGCGUGUGGUGAAAGCGCGGGGCUCAACCCCGCGUCGGCCGUGCGAACUGGGGAGCUGGAGCACGUCAGAGGCAGGCGGAAUUCCGGGUGUAGCGGUGGAAUGCGUAGAGAUCCGGAAGAACACCGGUGGCGAAGGCGGCUCUCUGGGACGGUACUGACGCUGAGACGCGAAAGCGUGGGGAGCGAACAGG
rnacentral:rRNA from 1 species